rnacentral:rRNA from 1 species
UACGAACCGUACAAACGUUAUUCGGAAUCACUGGGCUUAGAGGGUGCGUAGGCGGCCAUGUAAGUGAGGUGUGAAAUCCCUCGGCUCAACCGAGGAACUGCGCUUCAUACUGCAUGGCUUGAGGGAGACAGGGGUCAGCGGAACUGAUGGUGGAGCGGUGAAAUGCGUUGAUAGUCAUCAGGAACAUCCGGUGGCGAAAGCGGCUGACUGGGCUCUUCUGACGCUGAGGUACGAAAGCUAGGGGAGCGAACGGG